rnacentral:tRNA from 1 species
GCGGGAGUGCCCGAGCUGGUCGAAGGGGGCGGACUCAAGAUCCGCUGGCGAAGGCCGUCCGGGGUUCAAAUCCCCGCUCCCGCA